rnacentral:lncRNA from 1 species
UUAAAGUUAAGGGUGAUAUGUGAAAAUUUUGCAUAGAAAGUAAGUUGUCACAAAAUAACCGGUGGUAAAAGUACAGUAAUACGCGUGGUUGCAUAGUAGCACACGGUAUUGAUUAUUGAUGCUUACGUGAGAAGUCACUCAGUUUAUUUCAAUUAUUGCCACAGUAAUUGCUGCAUAGUAUCUCACGUUAUUUGAUUCAAUGAGUGUCAAUAUUUAAUAUAUUAUUAAAUCAAUAAUUGAGACGACAAAGUUAUUCAUAUUAUUAUUUGUAAUAUUGACAAUGUUUAAAAGUUCUGUUAAGGAGAGGUUAGGUCAUCU